rnacentral:lncRNA from 1 species
GGUGAAUAGCAAAGUUGCUACAAGUUGCUUGCUAGCCUCUCCGGGGGAGUAACUGAAUCUUGUUUAAUUUUGUUUCCUUAGCUUCAGGAAAGGAAUUCACAUAAAGUAGACACCUAAGGAAAUGAGCAUUGGAGUGACACUCAAAGGACCCCGAGACAGGGAGACGUGGAAAACAGAUGGGCAUUUGGGGGUGAAAGAAGCCGAAAAAUCGUUGCUGGCAGUGCUGUUCCUGGAAGGGAGACGAAGGCGGGAAGACACAUUUGGGUUACAGGAAGAGGCGGCCCCUCAUGCAGCAUCUUUAGUCUAUAAGGGCCCAGGGCUCUGCACGGAGAGCACUAAUUGGAUUUCAUUAAAGCGAAAUAGAUUUCCUCGCACUGGAAGAGCCAGUUCAUUAAUUUCACACAUGCUCUACUGGAGGAAGGCAUGGGGAAGGGCAGCCAGCCCCAGUCUCCCCAGGCUAAGAUCAGAGCUGGGAGCCCGCUGCAGUUUGGUGCAGAGCCUGGAGUCUGAGCGCCUGCUCCAUGCCAGUGCCUGGGCUGGCCAUCGGGGGUGCAGUGAUGAACCAGAUACAACCACCACCUCCGGUAACUCGGUCUUGGAGGAGGCAGGCACACAAGGCAGGGCGUGCACAGUGACAGGGUGCUGGACCAGGGUAAGCAACAUAGAAUGUCUGACCCGUGCUGCUGGGGGUCCUGGGGGUAGGGUGGAGGUAAAGAGCAGAGAAGGGAGAAGUUGGCCCAGCUGCCCUAAGGCUCACGGGGCCAUGGUUUGCACGAAGGUUUUCAUGCCCAGAGUGGGCAACACCAAGGGAGGAGAGAAGCAGGGAUGCUGGGGUUCAUCUAAAAUUCUUCGAAAAUAUUCACUGAACACUCAUGGUGUGUCAGGUGUGUUCCAGGUACUGGACAUCCCGUGGAGCAGACCGACCCGGUGCUGGAGCUGAGAAGAGUGGUCUGGGCCGGAAUUUUAAAUUGGGGACAUUUGAACAUAUAAAAAGGUGGUCAAUGCCCCGGUCCGGAUGACGUCACCAGGGGAGAGAGUAGGAGGGGCCGGGUCAUCUUAGUUCUUUCUUCCUCUCAGAGCAAGGAUUCCUUCCACGCCUUCCACUGACAGGUGGCUCCCCAGUCCCUGCUUGCAUGCCCCAAUGACAGGGAGCUCACUACCAGCCAAGCCAGUCCUGCCUGCUUUUGGAAGUCCUGGCUGUUAGUUAAAUUCUUUUGUAUGCGGGCCAAAGUCUCCCUUCCCUUUUGAUUUUACUCCUUUGUUCUGAUUCCAUCUUCUGGAGACCCGGCCCGUCCAGUCGGCUCCCUCUUUGCCAUGAUCUGCUAGAACCCACAGAUGUGGUUCGCCACACCUUCCUUCUUCUCCGAUAGUGGGGCCCUGGGUUUCUUCUGAGGGUACCGCACCGUCCCCACUGCCGUCUCCCCUCCCAGGAAGCGACAAAGUCUUGUUUUAACGUCUGAACCGUGGCCUUAGAGACCAGAAGAAGAGGGGACACUUAAAACUAAGAGACUUCCCUUCUGUGUCUUUCUUAAACACACCCGGUUCCUUCUGCCACUCUUAGCUGCCUCAGUGGCUACCCCAGAUAUUUUUGUCUCUGGGUUGGGGUCUUCACGCUGGAGUUAUUUUAAAAAAUUUGCUUAUUUUUGAGAAGGAGAGGAGAGAGAGAAUGAGUGAGGGAGGGACAAAGAGAGAGGGAGACGCAGAAUCCGAAGCAGGCUCCAGGCUCCGAGCUGUCAGCACAGAGCCCACAGGGGGCGCGAACUCACAAACUGUGAGAUCAUGACCUGAGCCGAAGUCGGACGCUGAGCCACCCAGGCGCCCCUUACACAAACUCUUUAUAACAACAUUGGACCCAGCAGGACUUCCCUCUUUGAGCGGAUGCUUUGGCAGUCUGAGUUGCUUGUCUGCUCUCAACCUUCCCUCAGUGUGAUGUAGCAACU